rnacentral:rRNA from 1 species
AUGAACACUGAUGCAACCCCUAUAGCUACCCCAAAACGUUUGAAGUUCUAUAUUUGUACCAAUUUCAAACAUCUCCAAGUGAAGAUGCUUGAGUUAAGACAAACCAAGAACUUCAAAUAUUUGCCGGUGUGUCUUUGUAUGGUUAAGUAUGUUGGUUGUGUGCAUCCUAACUAUGAUGAAGUUGGGUGUGUGCUCAUCGUGUGUAUUCUCUCGAUGCUUUAUUUUGAGCCAAUAAAAUAUAUAGAAAACAAAUUUGCAGUGGGGUUUUACCCUAGUAUUUCCCUUACAGUUUGUUUGGUAACUUUUGGGAUGAGGAAUAGGAAUUUAGAUGAGGGAGUUGUAAUGGAGAUUAGACAUGAAAAGUGUAAUUUUAUUCCCAAUCCCAUGUUUGAUAUUUGA